UACGAAGGGUGCAAACGUUGCUCGGAAUUAUUGGGCGUAAAGCGCACGUAGGCGGCUUUUCAAGUCGGAUGUGAAAUCCCUCGGCUUAACCAAGGAAGUGCAUCCGAAACUGGAAGGCCUGAGUACUUAAGAGGAUCGCGGAAUUCCCGGUGUAGAGGUGAAAUUCGUAGAUAUCGGGAGGAACACCAGUGGCGAAGGCGGCGAUCUGGGAAGAUACUGACGCUGAGGUGCGAAAGCGUGGGGAGCAAACAGG
rnacentral:rRNA from 1 species